CAGCUUGUUGGUGAGGUAACGGCCCACCAAGGCGACGAUCCGUAGCUGGUCUGAGAGGACGAUCAGCCACACUGGGACUGAGACACGGCCCAGACUCCUACGGGAGGCAGCAGUGGGGAAUCUUGCGCAAUGGGCGAAAGCCUGACGCAGCGACGCCGCGUGAGGGAAGAAGGCCUUCGGGUUGUAAACCUCUUUCAGGAGGGACGAAGCUACUCGGGUUAAUAGCCCAGAGGGUGACGGUACCUCCAGAAGAAGCCCCGGCUAACUACGUGCCAGCAGCCGCGGUAAUACGUAGGGGGCAAGCGUUGUCCGGAUUUAUUGGGCGUAAAGAGCGUGUAGGCGGCCAGAUAAGUCCGCUGUGAAAACUCGAAGCUCAACUUCGAGCUGUCGGUGGAAACUAUCUGGCUAGAGUCCGGAAGAGGAGAGUGGAAUUCCUGGUGUAGCGAUGAAAUGCGCAGAUAUCAGGAAGAACACCCGUGGCGAAGGCGGCUCUCUGGUACGG
rnacentral:rRNA from 1 species